GUCUACGUAGCUUAAUUCCACCCAAAGCAAGACACUGAAAAUGCCUAGAUGGAUUCAUACAUCCCGUAGGCA
rnacentral:tRNA from 1 species